CCUACGGGAGGCAGCAGUGAGGAAUAUUGGUCAAUGGGCUUACGCCUGAACCAGCCAAGUCGCGUGAGGGAAGACUGCCCUAUGGGUUGUAAACCUCUUUUGUCAGGGAGCAACGCCGGCGACGUGUAGCCGGACUGAGAGUACCGGAAGAAAAAGCAUCGGCCAACUCCGGGCCAGCAGCCGCGGUAACACGGAGGAGGCGAGGGUUAUCCGGAUUUAUGGGGUUAAAAGGGUGCGUAGGCGGAAUGCCAAGUCAGCGGUAAAAUCGCGGGGCUCAACCUCGCGGCGCCGUUGAAACUGGCGUUCUUGAGUGGGCGAGAAGUAUGCGGAAUGCGUGGUGUAGCGGUGAAAUGCAUAGAUAUCACGCAGAACUCCGAUUGCGAAGGCAGCAUACCGGCGCCCAACUGACGCUGAAGCACGAAAGCGUGGGUAUCGAACAGGAUUAGAUACCCCAGUAGUC
rnacentral:rRNA from 1 species